AGGAAAAGAAAUCAAUAGAGAUUCCCUCAGUAAAGGCGAUCGAAGAGGGAAUAGGGCAAUCCGAAUCCGCAUCCGAAAG
rnacentral:rRNA from 1 species